GGCCGUUCCCUGUAUUUCCAUAUUUAAUUGCAUAUAAAUGAUAUUGGAGAUGGAAAUAUGCUUCUUUUUGCCCAAAUCCUUGCUAAGAUAUGAUCAAAUAUGAAGCCUGGAUGUAACAAGACUGUUGCUUUUAACUAUAUAUGUAGACAGUAUGGUCUGAUGCAAAGUUUUUUCAAUUUACUGUUUAAAACCUGCAUGAAAUUUCAGUCUUAAAAUGCCAAUAUUUUAACCACCAGCCAUCCAAAAGAAGAAAAUAAAGGUAUUCUGUGAAACAGACAAGUUUAAACAACCAGUAAUAAGUGCUUUUGAUAUAGAUUCAGUGCAAUCUGUUUAAAGAAAUACAAUUUUUAAGUGCAUAGAACUUCAUAUUUCACUUGCUUCGUACGGACCGCUAGACCUAGACUAUUAAAACAGCACAUUUUGCACUCUUUUUAUGCUUUUAUCCACCUUUCUUUGUGUUCAGAGUUCACAAAUGAGUAAAACACAUGAAAUAAAUACCACAAACACAAAUAGAUAUCAGAAAAAAAAUGUCAGAGAAAAAUUAAGAAUGCUGCUUUUGCAAAAAUAUUGAAAAAAGUGAAAAAGCUACUUUUUGGGCAUAUUAGCUGAAAAGUGACUUUUUUUUACAAAUUUCUAUCAAAUAAAAGUGGAAACCAUUUCUUCUCAUAUAGUUUGACAAAUAAAUACCAAUAGAUCAUUCAGAGAAGUUGUCAAAGUAUAAAUUCAAAAUUUGCUGAAAUGCACCUCUUAGGCCCGAGACCACAAUUAAUUCUUCUAUCAUUUCUUUAUAACGUUUUGUCGCAUUAAAAAAAAUUUAACUGUUCUUUUUGUCUAAUUUUUUGUGUGAGUAAUGUACAGUUCAAGUCCCAAAACAUGUGCAAUUUUCAGUUUACAUCAUACAAAUUUGGCCAAUACACAUCCAUACCCCUAUAGGCA
rnacentral:lncRNA from 1 species